GUGCUUGCUUCAGCAGCACAUAUACUAAAAUGAGAAUGAUGCAGAGAAAACUAACGUGGCCCCUGCACAAGGGUGACACACAAAUCCGUGAUGCGUUCCAUGAAAAA